GGGCCCGUAGCUCAGCUUGGACAGAGCGUCGGGUUGCGGACCCGGAGGUCGGGGGUUCAAAUCCCCCCGGGCCCG
rnacentral:tRNA from 2 species